AGUACGUGGAAGUUCCUGAACCCAAGAUCAAACCCAUGCCACAGCAGAAGUCCAAGCCACAAUGGUGGAAACCAAAUCCUUAAUCCACUGAGUCACCAAGGAACUCCAAAGAGUCAAUCCAAUGUCACAGAAGCCUUGGUAAGUAGAGAAGACUAAUGAAAGAUCUCAUAAGGGAUGCUGUCCUGGUCCUUGCAUUUUCAACUGCCUUCUUUACCUCCAUGGAAGUCUUAUCCAAUGAAGUCUUACACAUAACAAGACUAUUUAAAUAGAGAAACACUUUAUGCAGAUAUCAAAAAUACUGAUUCUGAAGACUUUAGAUGAAGAGAUCUUGAUAGACAUUUCUUGACUGAGUGAGAAACUGAUCAUGAAAAAAAAAUUACACAAAAUUGUUCACAAUGUUAACAGACCCUAAGAAUGGCCCUAAAUCUGGAAAUAAAGAAGGUAUGAGGAGUGGACAGAGUCCAGAGAGACAUGGAUGAGAAUUCUAGCUUCUCACUUACCUGGAUCUAUGAUUUCGGGCAAGUCAUUAACCUCUCUAUACUUCAGUUUCCUUUCCCUGUAAUUUGAAUUUAAUACUAAUUAUCUUUCAAGAUUAGACUAGUAUCUGGCAUUUAAUAAGACACAACAAAUGGCAGGUGGUAGUAGCUCAGUCUUUUUUUUUUUUUCUAGUUUUAGACUGAAAGUAUUAAUAUUGACAGAAACUUUUGCAUGUAUAGGUAAAUAAUCCUGUUCUUUAGGCUACAGAACAGCCAAAUGUCUAGUUUGGACACCUGCCAUGAAAUAGUCUGUAAUGAUGAAUUAUUUAAAAGAUGUUUUAAGAUUUUUACCAAAAGUUCAUAAUACAAAAAAUUGUUUUAAAGAAAUAGUAGCAUUAUCUCUAGCCAGAGAUUCAUUGGUGUUUUGUAAUGUUAUUUGCAAAAUAGAACAAAACACUUUAAUGACUACAAUCCUCAUCUAUAAGAACUAAAAAGAAUUGUUUCCCUGAUAAUAAUGCUAAUUUCCUCCACUCAAAGACAGCCUAAUAAUUUCUUCCUGGCCAGGGAUCGAACCCACAACUUCAUGGUUCCUAGUUGGAUUCGUUAACUACUAAGCCACGACCGGAACUCCGAGAUCAAAAAAUUUUUUAACUAACUGAGAUUUUUGCUCUCUACUAGACAUGAUAUCUACUAAGACAUAACUAGAUAUGCAAAACUGAAAAAGUGGUUUCCAGUGUAAUGUUUCUAAUGAUGCAAGACUAUUCUCAAAGAGAGUGAAAAAAUUUUUAAUUCUAAAUUGUGAAAGUGAAAAUUAAAACUUAAGAAAAUUUUAUUUGUACAAAGACUUUAGAAUUCCAAUGAAAAAUUAGUGUCUUUAGAAAGAUAAAAGCAGAUAUGACACUCAUAAAAUGAGUACAGGAUGCUGUUUAAAAACCUUGGAAACCAGGAAAAGUUUUCAAAAGUGUAAAAUAGGAAAGUCAAAGUAUAAAAAAUUCAAUAAAAAGGUUGUAAGAUUGUGUUUAUCAGAUAAAAUGGAAAAUAACUUCCAAUUUUCAGCUCUAUCAUGUAUAGAACUUAGAAGUUAUUAUUCCUGUUCUUACAAGAAAAGCCUAGAUAAAUUGAAAAUCAACAACUGUCCAUGGACCCACCAAAGAACUAAGGUCUCAGGACAAACAACCACUCUGAAACCUGGAGAUACAGAUAUAUCCAGAGAAAAAAAACCCUGAGAUAUGCUUACCUGAAGCAGAAGUUGAUGGAGUCAUAACUGGUAGGAACACUUAACUGGUAAUUUUUAUGAAUUACUGGAGGCUAUGUGGACCAAUGGACUAGUGUGUGAGAAACUCUUGGAGGCCACUACAAUUUUGUGGCUUUUGCCUCCAGGAGCCCCACCAGGUUCUCAUAGUAAAAAAAUCCAAGAAAGAGUUCUUUGUGGCUCUGCCAGGGAAAGAUGAAGAGUGGCCAUUGUAAAAUAUGCCUGGGAUCUCCCCCAUAACAAAGAUCCACUCUCCAGGUUAAAGUACAUUGUCAGAGUGUUAUCACAACUGGGAAAUGUCAUUCUUUCUACUUCAACCUCCUCUAGCUUUCUUGACUCACCUAGAAGGGAGAAAAAGCAUAAACAGAUUUGAGAGCUUCAGUGAAAAAUAAACUCAGAAAGCUGAAACCAGGGUAGGAAGUAGAAGGUAGGAUGGAAAAGCUGUAUUAUUGAAGAAACACUUGAAGGCACAGCCUGAAGACAUAGACCCACUAGAAGACUGGGAUGUAAUUGGAAGAUAGUAGAAUGUUCCCUCUCUCCCACACCACACUGAUGGGGCUGCAAUACAACAACCAUGGACUAUAGUUGAAAGAGAUGCAAGAUGCAGAUUUUCUGAGGAAGAGUACUGAGGGAAGUUCAUAAUCAAGAGGUGCAAUAAAAUAAGACACUGCAGGAGUUUGAAACCUCUGACACCAAUAUCUACAGAAAAGAUUUUAAACAGUCCAGUUUCUAACCAGAUUAAUAUUAAUUAUCUAAAGGCAAGAAAUAAUACAGUCUAAAGAGCAAAGCAAUCAGCCGAAUCAGACUCAGAUGUGACCUAGAUAUUGGAAUUAUCAGACAGAGAAUUUAAAUAACUAUAAUUAUUGCUAAGUGCUAUAAUGGAAAUGGUAGACAACAUGAAAGAAUGGAUGGAGGAUAUAAGCAGAGAGAUAAAAACUGUAAGAAAGAAUCAAAAUAAAAUUAUAGAAAUAAAAACAAUAUAGUAACAAAAAUGAAGAAUGCCUUUGAUGGACUCAUCAGUAGACUCAACAUGGCUGAAAAAAGAAUCAAUGAGUUUGAAUAUAUGUCCAUAGAAACUUCCCAAUCUGAAAUGCAAAAAGGAGAAAAAAGAAAGACAAGAUAACCAGAAUGUAAUAUCCAAGAACUGUGGGACAAUAACAAAAGGUAUAAUAAGCAAACCAUAAGAAUACCAGAAGGAGAAGAAAGAAAAAAACAGAAGAAAUAUGUGAAGUAGUAAUGACCAAGACUUUCCAAAAUUAAUGCCAAGCAAACCACAGAUCCAGGAAGCCUAGUGUAUACCAACCAAGAUAAAUAACAAAAGUAAACAAUAAUCCUCACAUAUAUAACUGUGCAUAAUAUUCAAACUACAGAAACCAAAGACAAAAAAAGAUAAUCUUAAAAUGAUCUUUGGGAAAAAAGAAUAUACUACCUAUAGGGCAAUAAGUAUAAGAAUUACAAUAGACUUCUUAUCAGAAGCCAUUCAGGCAAGAAGAAAGUGUAGGGAAAUAUUUAAAUUGUUGGGAAAAAAAAAAACCCCACCAACCUAUAAUUCUAUAUCCAGUGAAAUUACUCUCCAAAAGUAAAGAAUAAAUAAAGACUUUCUCAUACAAAAGCCAAUAACAGGGAUCUCAUCACCAGAAGAAAUCUUAAAAUUUCUGUAGACAGAAGAAAAAUAAUACAGCUCAGAAACCUGAUGUAUGAAAAAAGGGAAGGCAUCAGUGAUGGAAUAAGUGAUGAAAGUGAAAUAAAACUUUUAUUUUUCUUAAUCUUAUUUAGAUUUAAGAUAUAAAUGUUUAAAGCAAUAAUAGGAAGAAUGUAUUGGGUCAUUAUAGCAUGCGGAUAAAUGAAAUGAAUGACAACAAUGUCACAAGGGAUGAGGGGGAUGAAUUAGAAAUACUGUUUUGGAGUUUCCGCUGUGCUGCACAGGGUAAAGGAUCCAGCAUUGCUGAAGCUGUAGUGUAGAUUGCAGCUUUGGCUCCAUGGUCUGGGAAUUUCCAUAUGCCAUGGUUGUGGCCAAAAAAAAAAAAAAGAGGAGUUCCCUUCCUGGCCCCUACCCUGGGAACUUCCAUAUGCCUCAUGUGCAGCCCUAAAAAGCAAAAAA
rnacentral:lncRNA from 1 species